rnacentral:lncRNA from 1 species
ACAUGCAGCCGCCAUAGGCAUUGACACCUCCUUAUGAGGCACAAUACAAGCGUCAUAGGCACUGGCGCCUCCUCAUGAGGCUUCAAAUGCAGGCGCCAAGGCCUUAGGCGUCUCCUCUUGGUACAAAACGGAUGCGCCAGGUCAUUUGGCGCAUCUUUUUUUAAAUGUGAUUAUUUUAGAAUUUUUUUUAAAUUUUAUUAUUUUGAUUUUUUU